UACGUAGGGUGCGAGCGUUAAUCGGAAUUACUGGGCGUAAAGCGUGCGCAGGCGGUUUUGUAAGCCAGAUGUGAAAUCCCCGGCUUAACCUGGGAAUGGCAUUUGGGACUGCAAGGCUUGAGUGCGGCAGAGGAGACUGGAAUUCCUGGUGUAGCAGUGAAAUGCGUAGAUAUCAGGAGGAACACCGAUGGCGAAGGCAGGUCUCUGGGCUGACACUGACGCUCAUGCACGAAAGCGUGGGAGCGAAACAACG
rnacentral:rRNA from 1 species